rnacentral:rRNA from 1 species
CGCCCUUAGAGUUUGAUCCUGGCUCAGGACGAACGCUGGCGGCGUGCCUAAUACAUGCAAGUCGAACGCAGCUUGCUUUGGUAAGAUGAGUGGCGAACGGGUGAGUAACACGUGGGUAACCUGCCUAUCAGAGGGGGAUAACACUUGGAAACAGGUGCUAAUACCGCAUAGAUUUCUUUCGCAUGAAAAGAGAGGAAAGACGUACGUGUCACUGAUAGAUGGACCCGCGGUGCAUUAGCUAGUUGGUGAGGUAACGGCUCACCAAGGCCAUGAUGCAUAGCCGACCUGAGAGGGUGAUCGGCCACACUGGGACUGAGACACGGCCCAGACUCCUACGGGAGGCAGCAGUAGGGAAUCUUCGGCAAUGGACGAAAGUCUGACCGAGCAACGCCGCGUGAGUGAAGAAGGUUUUCGGAUCGUAAAACUCUGUUGUUAGAGAAGAAUAGGUAGGAGUGACUUCCUGCCAUGACGGUAUCUAACCAGAAAGCCACGGCUAACUACGUGCCAGCAGCCGCGGUAAUACGUAGGUGGCAAGCGUUGUCCGGAUUUAUUGGGCGUAAAGCGAGCGCAGCGGUUUCUUAAGUCUGAUGUGAAAGCCCCCGGCUUAACCGGGGAGGGUCAUUGGAAACUGGGAA